rnacentral:rRNA from 1 species
GACUCGUCACACUAUCAUUAACUGAAUCCAUAGGUUAAUGAGGCGAACCGGGGGAACUGAAACAUCUAAGUACCCCGAGGAAAAGAAAUCAACCGAGAUUCCCCCAGUAGCGGCGAGCGAACGGGGAGGAGCCCAGAGCCUGAAUCAGCAUGUGUGUUAGUGGAAGCGUCUGGAAAGGCGCGCGAUACAGGGUGACAGCCCCGUACACAAAAGCGCAUGUGCUGUGAGCUCGAUGAGUAGGGCGGGACACGUGGUAUCCUGUCUGAAUAUGGGGGGACCAUCCUCCAAGGCUAAAUACUCCUGACUGACCGAUAGUGAACCAGUACCGUGAGGGAAAGGCGAAAAGAACCCCGGCGAGGGGAGUGAAAAAGAACCUGAAACCGUGUACGUACAAGCAGUGGGAGCACCCUUUGGGGUGUGACUGCGUACCUUUUGUAUAAUGGGUCAGCGACUUAUAUUCUGUAGCAAGGUUAACCGUAUAGGGGAGCCGGAGGGAAACC